AGUAGCUCAAUGGCAGAGCAUCCGGCUGUUAACCGGAGGGUUGCUGGUUCGAAUCCAGCCU
rnacentral:tRNA from 1 species